GCGCGCGCAGGAAAUUUGAGAAGGGCUGUCCUUAGUACGAGAGGACCGGGACGGACGAACCUCUGGUGUGUCAGUUGUACUGCCAAGUGCACCGCUGAUUAGCUACGUUCGGAUGGGAUAACCGCUGAAAGCAUCUAAGCGGGAAGCUCGCUUCAAGAUGAGAUUUCCACCCACCACGAGUGGGGAAGGCCCCCAGCCAGACCACUGGGUUGAUAGGCCGGAUGUGGAAGACAGGACUAACGACUGUUGAAGCUGACCGGUACUAAUAGGCCAACGACUUACACCACA
rnacentral:rRNA from 1 species